CCAAUAGCGUAUAUUAAAGUUGUUGCAGUUAAAAAGCUCGUAGUUGAAUUUCGGGAUCAAUAUAUCGGUCGUGCCAUCGGUACGUACUGGUAUCAUUGGUUUCUCCUUUCUGACGAACCAUGAUGUCAUUAAUUUGGUGUUAUGGGAAGUUAGGACUGUUACUUUGAAAAAAUUAGAGUGUUUAAAGCAGGCUUUAGCUUGAAUACAUUAGCAUGGAAUAAUGAAAUAGGACGUUUGAUUCUAUUUUGUUGGUUUCUAGGAUCGACGUAAUGAUUAAUAGGGAUAGUUGGGGGCAUUAGUAUUCAAUUGUCAGAGGUGAAAUUCUUGGAUUUAUUGAAGACUAACUACUGCGAAAGCAUUUGCCAAGGAUGUUUUCAUUAAUCAAGAACGAAAGUUAGGGGAUCGAAGACGAUCAGAUACCGUCGUAGUCUUAACCAUAAACUAUGCCGACUAGGGAUCGGAUGAUGUUAAUUUUAUAAUGACUCAUUCGGCGCCUUACG
rnacentral:rRNA from 1 species